UUUGCCCUCAGCAGGUGUUUGGCAACAUCUACAGACAUGUUCGGGAGUCACGGAAGGGGCAGAGGCUGCUCCUGGCAUCAAACGGGGCUGCCCCCACAGCAGAGAGCGACACACCCUGUGUUGAGGAGGCUACAGUGAACCUGCAGGAAGGAGCCAAGAAAAUGUGGUGCAAAAAAACCACCCCAGCACCGGCCUCCAGGAUUGGUGGGAUAGAGAGGCACGUGGCCCAGGGAACUUGCCCAGAUCCUAACUUACUGGCAAAAUAUGGCCUAUGCUGGAGUUGAAUCUCAGCAGGAAGGAGGUUGGAGACCUUACUUCUCAACUCAAAGGGGGCCUCAUCCCCCUAAUAUUGGGGAUGCUUCUUCUUGCCAAGGGACCAGAAACUCAUUUCUGUGCCCCACCCUUGGGCUGUGCUCCAGCACCCACUCCAGGGAAAUAGAAGGAGGAGGCCCCGCAGUCUGCCAAGGCCGGACUGUUCUUCACUUGGAAAUAUCAUCCCAGCCCUGCUCCCACAGCCCCCUCCUUCUACAGCCCCCUCCUUCCUCCGCCCCACAAGGCUAUUCGUGAAAGAAUUAAAAAUGAGCCCAGCACUAA